rnacentral:rRNA from 1 species
CCCUUAGACGUUCUGGGCCGCACGCGCGCUACACUGACCAGUGCAACAAGCAUCCGUCCUUGGCCGACAGGCUCGGGCAAUCUUUGAACGCUGGUCGUGAUGGGGAUAGACUUUUGCAAUUUUUGGUCUUCAACGAGGAAUUCCUAGUAAACGCAAGUCAUCAACUUGCAUUGAUUACGUCCCUGCCCUUUGUACACACCGCCCGUCGCACCUACCGAUUGAAUGGUCCGGUGAAGCCUCCGGAUUGGCGCGCACCUCGGUGCCGCCGAGAAGUUGGCUAAAUCUUACCAUUUAGAGGAAGGUGAANUCGUANCA